AACGCUACGGCGUGCUUACACAUGCUGUCGAACGGAAAAGAGUACAUCUUUCAGUGGCGGACGGGUGAGUAUAUGGAAUUUGCCCUUAUGGCAGAGGAUAACAAUUAGAAAUAAUUGCUAAAACUCUAUAUGUUGGAAACAAUGAAAAAAGAAAUUUGCCUAAGAGAGAAGCUCACAUUUGAUUAGCUAGUUGGUAGGGUAAGAGCCUACCAAGGCGACGAUCAAUAGUUGGUCUGAGAGGACGAUCAGCCACACUGGAACUGAGACACGGUCCAGACUCCUACGGGAGGCAGCAGUGAGGAAUAUUCCGCAAUGGGCGAAAGCCUGACGGAGCAACGCCGCGCGAGGGAUGAAGGCCUACGGGUUGUAAACCUCUUUUUCCAAGGAGGAAGAUCUGACGUUACUUGGAGAAUAAGCAUCGGCUAACCCUGUGCCAGCAG
rnacentral:rRNA from 1 species